GAUGAACGCUAGCUACAGGCUUAACACAUGCAAGUCGAGGGGUAACGAGAGGAAAGCUUGCUUUCCUUGUCGACGACCGGCGCACGGGUGAGUAACGCGUAUCCAACCUGCCCCCAACUAGGGAAUAACCUUGCGAAAGUAAGACUAAUACCCUAUAAUUUCCUCAGAUGACAUCUGACGAGGAAUAAAGAUUUAUCGGUUGUGGAUGGGGAUGCGUCUGAUUAGCUUGUUGGCGGGGUAACGGCCCACCAAGGCAACGAUCAGGAGGGGUUUUAUGAGGAACGUCCCCAAAGUUGGAACUUAGACACGGUCAAAACUCCUAGGGGAUGAAUCAGAGAGGAAUAUUGGUCAAUGGGCGGAAGCCUGAACCAGCCAAGUAGCGUGCAUGAUGACGGCCCUAUGGGUUGUAAACUGCUUUUAUACAGGAAUAAAGUUAGCCACGUGUGGUUAUUUGUAGGUACUGUAUGAAUAAGGACCGGCUAAUUCCGUGCCAGCAGCCGCCGUAA
rnacentral:rRNA from 1 species